AGAUAAAAAUAGAUUAUCUUCGUGACCAUUCAUAUUCGUAUAUCGAUAACACUUUAUAUCCGAAUCUCGAGGAUGAAAUAGCGGUGGCGACAUCUUUCGAUUUUUCAAUUUCUCGAACGUUGACGGAAAACGUAACGGAGAAUACGACGACGUUUCAUCGUAUUCCUCGAAAAUAGCGUAAUCUGUUUAAAAAGUCGAAUGUCCCUGAUUUACACGCUCGUUGCCGUAUAAGAGGGGCGGAGUGGAGAGGGUCACGGAAGCGCGAAGGAAAGAUUUGCGACUAGGGAAACUUUUCCGUAGGGAAGAUUAAGGUGGUGGCAUCCACUCCUCCAUAUCUUUAAGUUCACUCGUCGCUUCCGCCCUUUACGGCGUCUUAAAAAGCCACUUUCGUGAUACUCCCUCCGUGCGAACCCGGUAAAACUUUCUGAUUAAACUUUUACCCGGGAAUUCGAAAUUAAUUACCGUGGCGCUAACUUAUUUUUACCGUAAUUAAAUGCAACGAAUGUGAAAAGAGGGAAGGGGGAAAAGAAGGGAAAAAAAACGAUGUCAUCGAAAAAGUGCGAAGUACGGGGAUAUCUAUCAGGAAAUCAUGGUGCACGGUCGAUAAGUUAGCGACUCUUGAUUUAAAAAUGUAAAUUGAAAAAUUUUAAGAGAUAAAAUUUUUUCAUAUAGGGUCCCAAUUUUUUGGAAAGGUUAUAUUUGAAAAUUAGGUGAUAUAUAAUGUAGAUACUUAUUUAGUUAAUUGUUAUAGUAUAAAAUAAUUGAAUGGAACGAAAAAGUGGAAAAUAUUUAGGAAAUCUUGGUACACAUUUUGGUAACAUAAGUCGAAAAAUUUUAGAAGAAAAUUUUUUCAUACAGUAUCCUGUUUUUAGGGGAAAAUUAUAUUUUAAGAUUCGUGGAAUAUUAAAAAUUGUUAUGGUAUAAUGUGAAAGAGAAAAAGGUAAUAUCGAAAAAAAUAUAAAACGUAGGAUAUCGAGAAAAUUGCGGUACACGGUUGAUGAUUCUUGAUUUAAAAAUGCAAAUAUGAAAAUCGAAAAAUUUUAGGGGAUAAAAUUUUUUCGUAUAGGAUCCCGUUUUUUUGGAGGGGAAAAUUAUAUUUGAAGAUUGGUGGAAUAUAGAUGCACUCACUUACUCAAUUGCUAUGACAUAAAAUAAUUAAGUGCAACGAAUGUGAAAGAGAAAAAAAAUAGUAUUAUCAAAAGUGUAAAGUGCAGGCUAUCUGCAAAAUUGUGAAAAAAAAAUGACUCUCGAUAAAAAAAACUUAUUUUUAGCACAAUUAAAUGCGAUAUAAAAAAAAAAAGAAAAAAAAACAAUCUGAAAAAUUGGUGGAACUAAGAAAGCAGAGGACUCUUAUAAUUAAAAAAUAUAAUUUAAAAAAAUAAAAAAGCAUAAAAUACAGAAAAAUAUCUUUGAAAUUGUGAUAAAAUAAAAAAAAUAAAUAAUCGUUGAUUAAAAAAAUAAAUCGAAAAUAAAAUAGAAAAAAAUGUAUUCACAAAGAGUUUGACGUACUAUUGCUCUAGAUACAAUUGGAGGAUAACGUUUUAUUCGUGACACGUGACUCUAGCAACUGUAUAUGUAGAUACCGAUAGCACGCUCUUCUCCAGUAUUUCAGAUUGAUUAACAGCGGUAAAAGAGUAAAACGAACGGAAAAAUUCAGGAAACCUAUGUAUAAACAAUUAUAGCCAAGUGUCGUUGAUUGAUUCGAGUACUUUAAAAAGAUUAAUAAUCACAAAUACUUCAUGUUGUGGAAAUUGUUUUCUUUUCGUGUCAAUCAUGUUCUAACAAGUUCGAUAUGCAUGCAUAUUAUAUUAAAUAUAUAUGCAGGAACGAAUAUAUGGAUAGCAUUCCACAAACAUUUGUAUAGUUAUAUAUAUAUAUAUAUAUAAAUGUUAUAUAAAACGCUUUGCAAUCGUCAAACAAAAAGCAAAAGCAUGUAGCAAAAAUAUGUGCCAUAAAAUUUGCAUUAAAAAAAAGAGAGAGAGAGAGAGAAAAAAUAUGCACGCACUUUGAAAGAACGCAAUUUAAUCCUGUAUAUCGAGAAAAUAACGAAAAGAUCGACGAACGAUAAAUUUCGAUUAUUUUUAUUUUUUCAGGAAAUUAAAUAUUUUUAUAUUUUGAAUUCAUAUUUCGAAAUAUAUCUACAUUUAUCGAAUUUUGAAAUUUGCAAUUUUAAAAAAUUCAAAUGUAAGAAUAUGUAGAUAUCUAUAUAUAAGAUGUUAAAAAAAAUCGUGGCACGAAUGAAAAAAAGAUUAUUCCAGACUUAAAAGUGAAUGGAAACAUGUCAAAUCUAUUCGUACGCUAAUCGAAAUGCCGUGAAAAUGGCCAGUUUGUAAUUGGGUUUGGUAUCACGCAAUCCGGCUCAACCGUUUCAUCUAUUGACAAUAAAUCUGAUAGGAAUAAAAAGAAAUUGUAACUCCGGCUGGAUUCGCUUUCGAUUUGUUUGAGGAUCCUCUUCGAUGAGAUCAUUGAGUUCAUUCGCUGGUAUAACUAAGUACUUAUAUCACUGACCAUGUACGUCUGCUCCAAUUCGGUACGCAGGAAGCGCGAAUGAUUUAGUGGAGCCUAUAUUAGUAGACACUUGACAGAGUCUAGUGGAAAAGCUUAAUGGCUCUCGUGAUCGGAAGGGAAGCAGUGAGAGGAGGCGAAAAAAAGGAAACCGCUUUACCGAUGUUGCAUCACGCCACGAUUUUUAUCGAGUGCCUCGUUUUACGAGUGCUAUUUCGAGUGCUCGUUCGGUGACGACGUGGAGAAAAGAAAAGUGCGCGAAAGAUAUGGAGAAGAGAAAGAGAAGCGACAAGCAAAUAAAUUUCUUGGAUAUUAGAUUCGAACCGAAUAUAAAAACAGUCGUUCAUCGCGAAUAUUAAAAGAUAUUACUACCAUUCUCGAUAACAUUGUAGAUGUGUAACAUUUGUUCAAUUCGUAUGACCAAUAACGAUCGUAUUCACAGUGAACUGUUAUCUCUGUAGUACGUUUAAUUUAUCUGGAAAUCUAUCGUAUCGUAAUUUUAUUAUUGAAAUGCUUUUUUUCUCCUAAUUUUUUUUUCUAUUCUUUUAAGUAUGAAAUAUAGAAAAGAGAACAGAUUACUCGACUACUAUAAAAGUAAGGUUAUAAUUCAAGAAAAGUUGAGAAAUACAGUACUAAGUAAUUAUGUACUUUGUCCUUUAACAAUAUCCUUGAUGUACGCGUUAAUUAAUAUGAUAAUAUAAUACUAUAGUAAUAACAGUAUUAGCAUGUCGACUAAGUACAUUGCAGAUUCUAUGCAAAUUAGUAUCUUUAUGAGUGCAGGAAAGAAAUGGAACCUAGAUAGAGAUUUGUUUCAUUCUUGAAAUAUUAUACCACAGUACUUUACUUUCAGUAUAUUUUUGCAUCAUUAUAUGCACAUUUCAUACAUAUAUAAAUUUCUCAUAAAUGCACAUAUACCUAACAUAAUACUUAAUCUACUUAUAAGUAGCUUCCCCUUAAACAUAAUGAAAUAACUUGCGGCUGACCUACUAUACUUGCCACUAGAGGGACUUCGCACACCGUAACACAAUUCUCUUAGCUGUCCUUUUCCUACAAAUAUCUGACCUAACCUUUAUUACUAGAACUUAGUAACAUAUAGUUUUCUUAUGUACAUCAUCUUUUCUUUCUUUUAAAUCUUCAUCGCUAUCUUAUUAUUUGAAGAGUUAUAUGAUAUAAUAAUUAUUUAUUUUAAAAGUUAUAUUCUGUUUCUAAUUUAAGUUAUAUGGAACCAAGUGUGAGAUUUCUCAAAGUCACUCUGAAAAUUUAAACUGGAAUUAGCAGUAGCGGUAUAUGAGAAUGUUACAGGUAUAUAUACUUAUGUGUUACUGCAGUUGAAAUUCCCUGAACUUUCUAGUAUAUGUAGCAAUAACUACUUAUAAUGUUAUGUCCCUGUUUCAAUCUUCAGUAACUAAAACAUAAUGCUAACUAACUGUCGUUAUUAUUAACAAUCUGUUAUUAUUAUUAUUAUUAUUAUUAAUAUUAUUAUUAUGAUUAGUGCAUUUUUUAUAAAAAAAAAUUCAUUACUUAAAAUAAAAGUUAAAAUACUAGAAUAAAAUUCUUUAUUAAAAAAAAACUUUUUCUUCAAUAUAUCCAAUAAAUAUCAAUAAUAAAUUUAUACAUUUUUGUGCGCUCUUCCAUCUUUCUCUACCCGCAAAUAGAAAACUUCGCGUGAUAAAUGUCAACCAUGCCUCAUCCAGGCUAUGAGUAAAUCGUACACAGUUUGCAGCCGCUACGUAUAAUAACUCUGAAACGAAGAGAAGUAUUUCACGGAGCCUAUCGUUGCAUUGGAACAAAUAUCGUGUUUGUCCAACUUCGAGCCGAGAAAUAACAAGAAGAAUUUUAUUUGUCCCUCGGCCUUAUUUGGAACUAUUGAACCGCGAUAUCUUUCGUGUUCGACAAGACGGGAGUGGGAGGGGAAAUCGAAUGGAGGGGAUAAGGCAUUGCGCCGCGCAAACUUUGCUAAUUUCUUGAAACUCGUGAAACUUCCUUUGGUUACACGAUACUCUUAAUUCACUUGCCCGAGUUUAAACAUUCCCUCGCAUUUAGCCGCAGUACGGACGCAGUAGGAAUUCAAUAAACAAGUUACACGCCGCUUUCUCCUUUGAUUUCGAAUUUCCUUUCGAUCGCGUGAAUUAAUUAAGGCCACAGGAAAUUAAUUAAGGGGGUUCGCGUCCUCUGGUCGUCUCACGCGCUAUUUUAAAUUGAAAACUUUGCUCCUCCAAGUUUCUCGCGCAUAUUACGCGUCUUACGAAUGUUCUUGUUUCAAAUUCAUGGAAACUGUGUGACUGCUUUUAUUAUAUGCUAUCAUGGAUUAAAUUACAUUGUAUUACUAUGUAAAGAAAGACGUUAUUUAAAUAAGGUUAAUAUUGAAUGUAUUCUUUAAUAGACCAGAAAAUAAAUAUAAAAAUUAUAUUAAAAUAAA